AGGUCAUAAGGUGAGAGGCAUUCCUGCUGGCAGGAAAAGCCUCUUGCCUUAGUGACCUGCACACACGUGAGCAAGUAGUGAUUUUGUAAAACAAAAUCAACGGAUUGCGAAUGUGUGUAGAAUUGUGAGAGUUGCGUAGCAACGAAACAAUUCGUGGU
rnacentral:sRNA from 1 species